AGUGAAUAGCAGGGCGAAGCAGUGGGUGGUGCGAGGAACCGGGUCGGCGAUGGUCGGCUACCUGCUGCCUAACUACAUUGUGGCUGCUAGAGGUUAUCUUAAGGAUCUGAAGUUUCAUUUAUUCAUGAGACAUCCAGUGAAUUCUCAAAUAUACCAGGGCAUGCAGGUGAUG